rnacentral:rRNA from 1 species
GACGAACGCUGGCGGCGUGCCUAACACAUGCAAGUUGAGCGACGAACCAGGGCUUGCCCUGGGGCAAAGCAGCGAACGGGUGAGUAACACGUGGGUAACCUACCCCGAUAACCGGGACAACCCGAGGAAACUCGGGCUAAUACCGGAUGUGCUCACUGGACUUCGGUUCAGUGCGUAAAGGAAGCUUCGGCCUCCGUAUCGGGAGGGGCCCGCGGCCCAUUAGUUUGUUGGUGAGGUAACGGCUCACCAAGACCGCGAUGGGUAGCUGGUCUGAGAGGACGAUCAGCCACACUGGGACUGAGACACGGCCCAGACUCCUACGGGAGGCAGCAGUGGGGAAUCUUGCGCAAUGCGCGAAAGCGUGACGCAGCAACGCCGCGUGGGGGAAGAAGGCCUUCGGGUUGUAAACCCCUUGCAGGAGGGACGAAGGUUCGGCGGUGAAUAGCCGUCCGGACUGACGGUACCUCCACAAGAAGCCCCGGCUAACUACGUG